AUUGAUCGCUGGCGGCAUGCCUUACACAUGCAAGUCGAACGGUAACAGGUCUUCGGAUGCUGACGUGUGGCGAACGGGUGAGUAAUACAUCGGAACGUGCCUAGUAGUGGGGGAUAACUACUCGAAAGAGUGGCUAAUACCGCAUGAGAUCUACGGAUGAAAGCAGGGGAUCGCAAGACCUUGUGCUACUAGAGCGGCCGAUGGCAGAUUAGGUAGUUGGUGGGAUAAAAGCUUACCAAGCCGACGAUCUGUAGCUGGUCUGAGAGGACGAUCAGCCACACUGGGACUGAGACACGGCCCAGACUCCUACGGGAGGCAGCAGUGGGGAAUUUUGGACAAUGGGCGAAAGCCUGAUCCAGCGAUGCCGCGUGCAGGAUGAAGGCCUUCGGGUUGUAAACUGCUUUUGUACGGAACGAAAAGCCCCGGGUUAAUACCCUGGGGUCAUGACGGUACCGUAAGAAUAAGCACCGGCUAACUACGUGCCAGCCGCCGCCGUAA
rnacentral:rRNA from 1 species